rnacentral:rRNA from 1 species
CCUACGGGAGGCUGCAGUGAGGAAUAUUGGUCAAUGGGCUUACGCCUGAACCAGCCAAGUCGCGUGAGGGAAGACUGCCCUAUGGGUUGUAAACCUCUUUUGUCAGGGAGCAACGCCGGCUACGUGUAGCCGGACUGAGAGUACCUGAAGAAAAAGCAUCGGCCAACUCCGUGCCAGCAGCCGCGGUAAUACGGAGGAUGCGAGCGUUAUCCGGAUUUAUUUGGUUUAAAGGGUGCGUAGGCGGAAUGCCAAGUCAGCGGGAAAAUCCCGGGGCUCAACCUCGCUCCGCCGUUGAAACUGGCGGUCUAGAGUGGGCGAGAAGGAGGCGGAAUGCGUGGUGUAGCGGUGAAAUGCAUAGAGAUCACGCAGAACACCGAUUGCGAAGGCAGCAUACCGGCG